UAAUAAUGAACAAGUUCAUGGGCACCACGACCAGCUUGCCCAGUGUUGGCCAACUUUGUCCUUUGACUUACACGGUGAUUUGUGGCAACUUGGCUGGCUUUUUGCUUCCCUGUGUGUGUGUGUGUGUGUGUGUGUAGGGUUUUCCAGUGGGCUUAUGUACCAGAUGCUGAUGUUGUUCCAUGCUGCUUUCCCUCUGCUCAGCUGUGAGCUCACCUGUGGUCACAGUACACAGGUCACAGCAGGCAGACAGCUCCUCUGGCUACGUCUCUCUGCUUCUCUGCCUUAGAACUUUUGCACCUGGGAGCUUGCUCAGCUGUAGCACAGGAAAACUGACAGAGGAGGGAAUUUAUAUCCCAGGGGCACCUCUCAACCAGGGAAGAACAGGGCUCCGUGGAUGAAUGCCCCAGAUGCCUGUCCCAAGGUGGAAUGAUUCUCUGGUAUAUUUCACAUGGGCUCUCGGGGGGUUCCUGGUGGAAUUGAGCCCAGUUACCCGCAAGGAUUAGCUCAUUCUUUACUGGCUUUUCUCCCUUCCUGUUCCAGUCUCUCCACUCUUUCUCAGCUGUGUUUUCUGGGAUCACUUUCCAAAUAUACUACCUGCAUCCAACAUUCUGUCUCUAUUCUUGCGGAAACCCAAAUUAAGGCAGCCAGGCAUGUGGGUACAGGAUAGAGUCAAAAGCUGUCAUUCACUGAACAUUCGCUGAGUGCCAGAUCCUUGGCUAGGAUAAUGACCCUUCAAGGCACACAUUUUUCUCCCCACUUUACAGAUGAUAAACCAAGACAGAAGAAGGUUAAGUAACUCUCCCAAGGUUCCCUGCUCCAACUCCCUCUUUCUCAUGAGAAAACAUCCCUUGCUGCUGUACUGACAACAGAGAGAGGCCAUCUGAUAUGAGCUUUACUAAUUUCCUCUCCGUUGACUUACAUUCUCUCUGAGUCACCCACGUGGUCUUUCCCCCAACAUGGUCUAGGAGGGGAAGCUUCUCCAAAGAAAGUAACAUGAGUCUUGGGGGUGGAUGGUCCUGGGCCCUACCUGUGACUGUUCACUUAUUAAUGUCUGUCCUUGGGCAGGUCUCUUAUGUUUCUGGGCCUGAAUUUUCUCACCUAUAAAAAUGGAGUAAUAAUGUCUUAAAACCGUAACGAUUAGAUAAUGUUUUACUGAACUCUGUACAUCUACAACCUGUAUAGUGAGUGGCUGUUUCUAAGGAGUUGUGCAGUCCACAUCCCGCACUUUGUAGCUAUGAAAACAUUGAAUUCUGUUUUCUUUCUUGUGUCUUUAUUCUCUGCCUCUCAACCACUUCUUACAAACCUACUCAAAUCCCCUCCUUUUCCUCCUGCCCGCAACUAAUAAUGAAUGAACUGUCUUUCCUUGUCAUUCUGUGUUGUUAAUGAAGCAAAGAACAUUUUGCCACACAAUCAUUGAAAUGUCUAUUUAUUAAUAAGUGGUGCGGUAUUUAUUUGUUUUAAGAUAGAACAUAAAAAAAUCAGGUAAGAAUUGUUUGCAUAAUAUAUAUGGAAAUCAACUUAUUAAAGUUGUUCAAAUAUUGGACAGAGCCAGAAUAUAAACUACACAUACAGUUUAAAAAUGACAGGAAAUCAUAUUAUAAAGAGCACUAAAGGCCACUUGUGGAAGAGUUGUGUUCCCAUGUAAGCCAGAAUGUGAAGAAAGCCUGCUGUAGCAUGGAGACAAAUUCAGGGAGCGAAAGGCACCAGAACUCUAUGCCGUAAAAGGGGGUUAAAGAAAAUGCAAUCCAACAUCAGAUACAACGGAUUCAUGUCACUGGAAACCUCGGUUUGCUCUUCGGAUUGGUGUUUUGCAUCACUGCCACAUCACAAAGAGAAAAAAGAAAAAGAAGAAUAGCCAUACCCCAUUGGAAGCAAUGUGGAAAGCAUUUUCCUCUUUAAAACAGGGAAUGAUUGACAAAUCUGAUGAAGUUGGUGCAUCUUUCUAAGGUGAUUUUCAAGAUGGGGCAGGGCCUACCUCACAUCUCCAACCGCAAAGCCUCUGACACUUGACCACAAGGUGGCUGCCAGUCUUGGAACUUGGCCUCCCACCUGGACUCUGAGCUCUCACAGGAACUUUGCAGGGUGGCGCUGCGCUCCCCUCCCUUGGAAAAGGAUUCAGAGGGAAAAGAAGAGCCCAAUUAUCAGAUCAGGUUGGCUUCCACUGGGAACCUCGAUCUUUUCAUAUCAAGAAAGAGAAACACAACUGUUCUGAGCCUUUGGCCUCCCAGAGAAUGUUUUUGAAGGCUCAUCUGUUUCUGCCGGAUCUCUAAGCUCUGAAAUAAAGGUACAGUCUAGAGACAAAAGACUAGGCAGGAGGGACAUUUGAACUUGUUUGGUUAAAACAAUGAAAGGAAAUCCUUGGGGGCAAAGAACAAGGGGCACUUGUGGGAUAACCUGUAGCCACACCAGACUCCCAGAGCUGAUGGAUUCCAACAUGAACCAGAUGGACAAUUUAUGUGGCAUUAUUCUCUGCCACCGACAGCUGGAUCGAGAAACCACGCAAAGGAGCAGGCAGGACCCGCCAAAUAGCAAGGGGAACAGUCAAUGCAAGAAUCACUCUUCUCUCCAGGGAACCAACAGGACUGUGAUCAUUUUACUUAAAGGUGAUGGGGUGUGGGAGGGCAAGGCUUUGUGGAAGCCCACAAGGCAUGAUUUGGGAGCAUUUCUACUGACCUGGGAGCCUUGGGGUGGGGAGGAAGACUGGGCUUUGGAGGUACAUGGGUUUUGGUUAACGGCUUCCCCCUCUCAGCUUCAGCUUUCUAUAAGAUGGAAACAGUAAUACCUCCUCAGUGGGGUUGUGAUGCGGAUUGCAUGAAGUCGAGAGAGAGAGCUCUGAUGUCACAUGCUGCUCAUAAAGAGAGCUUAGGGCGAGCUCUCCUCCCCUUCCCUGACCUCAGUCUUGUGGACAGAGGAAGAGAAUAGUACACUGAAGGAAAACAUGCUCUCAUUCUGCGUUACUCUUAGGCAACAAACUGUAGAGUCCAUUUGACGAGUCUAAGAGGAAUUACAAAUAUAUUCCUAACCCCUGGGCAAGGCUUUUGACCGCUUCAUUAUAAGUCACACUCAGGUUAUUCUUACAUAGACCCCAUUUUUGACUUAUUUCCCUCUGAAACUUAUUUUAACCUUAGAACGGUGCUAUGUGAAGGCUGAUAGAAUGACAGUCAUUAAAGUCACUGGGUCACCUAUUACCAUCCAGGAACUUGACCACCUUUCUUUCUAUCUCUUAGGAGCUCCUGACUCAGGAGAACUGAACAUCCUGCUACUGGCUUUAACAAGGGGAGCCCUGCCAAAUUCUGGAAGAUCUAUCCCAAGCACAAUAUAAGUGGAAACCAACUAUGGAAAUCCUCAUCUUUUGGUGAAGACUAGAAUACCUGGCUGUGAUAUGACCAAGACAGACGUUCUCUGGGACAAAGCAGGAGGAGCCAGGCUGUGCCCAGGAGGGACCCAGAGAUCCCAGGGCAAAGGGACAACUUCAGUAGACCUGCUGACUUGGGGUCAUAUACUUCCCCGAAGAAAUCACAUCCCAUUUCCUAAAAUCAAGCCCAUACAGUUUUUUCAAGGAGAAAUCCUGGUAAAUUGGCUUAUAGAUCAUCCUUCGAGACAGCGGUGCAGUAUCUGGUACAGUGUGUCCCAUGGAACUGCCACAGCCCAACCACUGGGAUCCAACAGUCUUGAUCUCCUCAUUCCGACAUUCCUGCUCUUCCUUAUUUUGAUGGAAAAAAUGGGAAAGAACAGCUCUUAAGAUUCUUAUCAUUUAUUCAAUCAUGAAGAUGUAACUUGCCUUUGUCUACACUGAUAAAGACAACAUACUGCACUGGAGAUGCAGAGCAUCCGACAAACAUGUUUUACAAUAAAAGCAGACAUCCUCCUCCCGCUGGAUAAACAGUGUCACGAGUGCUUUCCACACAACAGAGUACAGGCAUCUCGGUCCUGUUGUGUAAACUGCAGAGUGGUGUGGCAGGAGGGACCGGGGCCUGGGGUGAGUCAGCUGACCAGGCUUUGAGUCCCAGCUCUCCGGGGAACAAUGGAGUGGCCCUGGGCAUAUGUCUUUACCUGGGCCUAAGCUUUCUCAUUUUUACGAGGAAGGCCGUGGACUGGAUAAUUUCUGUGUGCCCUCUUGACUCUAGUUCCUAUUUGAGAUGGAUAUUUUAUACAAGUAUCACGGGGAAGAAUGUGAAUUGGAACCUCAUUUUGAAGGCACUGAACUCCUGCCCUGAGGGGCACCCCGCUGCUGAUAAAUUUGGUUAUCUUUGGCUACUAAUUUGGGAACAAUCUUAAUGUGCAUGUGUGUGUGUUUUCUCCCUGCCUAGUCACAACUCAUCCGACAUGUUACACCUGCCACCACCCUUCACAGGUGAGGAAACCGGGGCAUGAUGGUUGACAAUGACAGACUCAGUGAGGUCCCUUUGAGAGCUUUUGGAAGGUUUUCCCAGCCUUUCCUUAAUAAAAUAAUGUUUUAAAUUCUUGGUUUUGAGGAUGUGAUGACUAUCUCAUUCCCGCCCUCACGUUUUUAGCUCAGAAGGCAACGUCACUGGUACGCAAUGUAUUUUUGUUGAGAGAAUUAUCUGCUUGCUUUAGAAAACGGUUAAUUGUUGGACUGUUUUACACAAAGGGGCAGUGAUGCUAGAAACGACGUAAACGACUUUCUCUGCUCACCCAACCAAAACCCAAACCAGACAACCACACGGACACAUAGCACGCUCAUCAGCCAUUUCUCCCUGUACCGGUCCAGUCAUGAUUCAAAGUGAGGAAAUAGAAGCACAGAGAGAUGAAGUAACUCAUCAAACAUCACAGAGCAGUGGACUUUCUAAAGCAGGGGUCCCCAACCCACGGGCCACGGACCGCUACCGUUAGGAACCGGGCAGCACAGCAGGAGGUGAGCGGCGGGCGAGCGAGCGAAGCUUCAUCGGUAUUUACAGCCGCUCCCCAUCGCUCGCAUCACCACCUGAGCUCCGUCUCCUGUCAGCCUUAUGGGGAGUGGCAACCUCACCCCACCGUGAAGGAACCCAGCUGAGAUCUGGGGAUGCCCUGUGGGCUUUGGCACCACACAGCCUGUCAGCCCAUGACCACAGGCCCCACCUGGGAGAUUGCUGGGAUGGGCUUCUCCGACCAUUAGAGGGAUGGAUCCAACACUGGCUCCCACACCUUGCUUCCAUUUCUGCUCAAGCCACUAGCUCCCUAUCUGCGCCACCCUGAGCACAACAGGAGACAAACGCCCCCCCACCCCCUCCCCUCAUCAAGUUGCUGGGCUAGGGCAGGGGCAGGGUGUGGGAGCAGCCUUGAAGGCUUAUCACAGGCCUAGGACCGCUAAGACCAUGCACCCAGAAGAAGCCAUGCCUCACUCUGUCUCUCUGCAAACGCAACCGCUCCUCCAGUGACCCCACCGUGUACUAAAUCACCCUUCCUUUCUCUCUGGCCUCCUGCAGUAUCAGCAUGGCUGGGGGUAUGUGAUUGGCCCACUUAGGCAGUCAACCUCCCGCUAAGACUCAGAAACUCAUGUGCCUGAUAAAUACCAAACGUGACGACUGUGUGCAAAGGUCCACUCAACGCACAUUAAGAUGGGCUGAUAGCUCUAGAGGCUGGUUUGUCCUAGACAUCAUGUUCCCUCCUUCCAUCUCUCAGAGAGACAUAUUUGCAUAAAUAACAGCACGUUAGGCUCAGGACUUGUUCACGCUUCCUUUUGUUCGGCAGGCAUUGAGCGCCGAUGGUGUGUCCGCCACUAUGCUGGGCCGUCACAGUUGGUAUUCCAUUGAUGGAUAAAGGAAGGUCACAAGUAUUGCCAUGCUCGUCACUGCUUUGAAAUUAUGGUCGUAUUCAACCUGCCACUACAUCAUGCCAUUAGAUUCAUCACAAAGAAGCACGUCUACGACCGCGUCUCAAAAGUUUAAAUAUUUUGGAACACCGUGGCUGCUCCACGGAGAAUGGAUUGGAGGAAAGCAAGGAACAAACGAAAGACCGAAGAAGAUGCCGCUGAAGUCUUCUAAGCUGGUGGCUUGGACGUGCGUGACUGCAGUGGGAAGGAGGAGACCCGCGCUUGGACAUUUAUUUUGGAGAAGAACCACAACAGUCUUCCUUGAUGGAUUCUAUGUGGCCAUGAGGGAAAGGGACGGUUGAGAAAAAGGAGCAAAACUGGUUUGGAGAAGAAAUCGGAAGUUGAGUUUGGCAGUCCCUCGUCUUCACACACAUACACACCUGAUACGAGACUGUGGUGCGAAGCGGAUUUUAGUAAACGUUUGUCUGGGGAUCUAUGAGCACGAUUCCAGAACACUUGCAGCUGGUGCUCCGAGGACGCGCGGACUCACACAUUGAUGCAAGAGGGAGGAGCUGUAUGGUUUUCUGUGUUGGUUUCCUGAAAGAAUUAUUUUUCCCAUGUUUCCAAAUCUCAUGGAUGAAUAAUAUACCAAAUGAGCAAGAGUAAUCUCUGGUGAGCAUGUACUUCUGCUGGACCACAGGCGUCAUUCCGAGCAGCCUAUGAGGUUAGUACUAUUAUUAUCCCCUUCCACAUAUAAGGACAUGAGGACACAGAGAGGUUGCGUAAGUUGCGCAAGAUCACACAGCUAAUAAGCAGAGCAGCCAGUUUUUGAAGUCUGAUAGUCUAACUCUGGAGUCUCUGUCUCAGCCCCUAUUGCUAUGACUAUCUCCUAAUUCUACCACCUGGUUAUUUCUGGUCCCUUGUUUAAGAGGAGAGCGGACCACAGAUCUGGAGGGAGCCAGGCGCACAGGAUCAGAUCUCAGCCCCUGUGCAGGUUGUUUCCCCUUGCUGAGCCCCGGCACCUUCAUCUGCAUGGGGGACACUGAAAUAUAGCUCUCAUAAACGUCCAUCUCAAAAUCACAUAUCCUAGGUCUGCUCAGACAGCUUCCCACCACAUGCAGACCCAUCACAUUUACCUUUUGCAAAUGUAGAGAGUUGAAUGUCCCCCUGCAAAAGCUAUGUUCAAGCCCUCAUCUGAUACCUGUGACUGUGACCUUACUUGGAAAUAGAGUCUUGGCCGAUGUACUCAGUUAAGAUAAACUCCUGCUGGAGGAGGGUGGGCACUUAAUUCAAUGAGUAAUGUCUUUGUAAGUGAAAGGAGAGGGAGGUUUGGAUACAGAGACAUGAAUAUACCCAGAAGGAAGAAACGUAUGUGUAGAUGGAGGCAGAGAAUGGAGGUGAUGGGUUACAAGGUCAAGGGAUGCCAAGGAGUACCAGCAACCACCACACGUGAGGAAAAAGCAAGGAAGGAUUCUCCCCAGAGCCUUCGAGGAGUACGGCCUGAUGACACUUUAAGUUUGGACGUCCAGCCGCCAGAACAGUGAGAGAAUACCUUUCUGUUGAUUUCAGCCACCCAGCUUGUGAUAAUUUGCUGUGGCGCCGUGGGAGGAAACUAACACAGCAGACAAUGAGGGCUUAGUAGAUACACAUGCACUGUUUUCAGACGGAUGGAGCCAAGUCAGGGACCGUGACACAUCCUCGUGUGCUAAGGGAUGACGUGCUCAUGGGUAGUGAGGAGACUACAUGAAGGGUAGGGGGAACCACCCUUUCCUGUAUUUUGGCAACAUCAUAAAAAUGGAAUUUCCACACUCUUAGAAGAACUAGUAAACCUCUAGCCUUCUACUGGCUUUUCCCCACGGCAGGAGAUGAGUUAUCUGAUCGGGUCACACUGAGUGUGUAAUCGCCGCUGGGUCCAUUUUCUUGGUUGGGUAGGCUUCCAUACGAAAGGGCAGCACCGUAUUCAAGGUCAAGGAGAGAAUGGUCUCUCUCUCCUGCUCUCAGUGACCCACAGGGUCAGAUAGGCCAUGGCCCCAGGUGGCUGGCUGGGAGAGUCUCUGCUCUGAGCAUGUGCUGGUCCCAAGGCCAGACUUACCGUGAAGUGUUACAAAGCUCACUGCUGCCCCAGGGCCAAUCCUGCUUCAUCCAGCAAAUGUAGCCCGUAUUUCGAUCCUUUCCUGUCUCCUCUGUCUAUGUCUCAAUUAGUUCAUAAUUCAGAGAGAAAGGGGUGUUAUAAAUAGGCAACCCCCAAUAUUAAAAAAAAAUGGAGACUAAGUCCUUAGGACAUGCCAGGGAUCACUCUGAGAUUAAAACUGGUCCAAAUCUGUUACUCUGUAGCCUGGGAGCAGUGCUGCAGGGUCUGGAUGGCAGGAGAAAAUACAUAUAGCUAUGGGAUUGGGUCCAAGGCUCUUAUUUUGCUCUGGGUAAAUAAUUUUCUCAUCAGUAAAACUGGGGGAUUAGAUUAAUUGAUCUCUAAAUUCUUGUACACCUUUAGUAGUCAUGGAUUCUAGGGCAUGGAAGAUUUAUUGCCAACAUCAUCCAUCACACUGUGAGAUGAAAUUCAUAUGGCUGACGUCACAGGGAGAAGGAAAAAUGUGAAUUACAAGGUCUGACUAAACACUCCUUGAUGCCGUAGAAGACUCUGGGUCUGUGCCUUUCCCUGCCUGCACAGCCCCCUCGCAUGGCUGGGACUCCAGCUAUGUGAGCCAAGAAAGCGUAGAAGAAAACAACACACAAAAGGGGACACCUGCAGUGACUGAUUCUAUGACUGUUCCCAACAACUGUGGAGACCAGCAGAGUUGGAGCCGGUCCAACCAGCUCCAACUAUGGAGCCAGACCAGCUGGAUCCAAGUCCAGCUCUUGCUACUUUAUUAGCUGUAUGACCUUGUGCAAGUCACUUACCUCUUUGAACCUCAGUUUUCUCAUCUGUAAAAUGGGGAUUAAAAAUACUACCUACCUUCUGGGGUGGCUAGGAGGGGCUAGAUGUGCUUAGAACUGUAGCUGGCAAACAGUAGGCAUUCUUUAUAAGUAAAGGUUAUCAUAACUUGAAUUCUUUGAUCCAAAGAAUGAUCCUUACUAAGGUUGACAGGUUUGCAAUGGGAAGGACAUAAUAAUGAGAUAGGAGAUAAAGAUGCAUGGGACAAAUUUCUUCCCUCUCCAAAGACCGAUACAGAGGAGAAGAAACCUGAAGGCUGCUGUUCACAGUGAAUCGUUUGAAAACACAAAGUGAGCCAUUGGGCCCAGGCAAGCAGUUACCGUCAACACAGCUACCUGUUCUGCAAAUUCAAAAAAUGCUGGUUUCGGGCUUCCCUGGUGGCGCAGUGGUUGCGCGUCCGCCUGCCGAUGCAGGGGAACCGGGUUCGCGCCCCGGUCUGGGAAGAUCCCACACGCCACGGAGCGGCUGGGCCCGUGAGCCAUGGCCGCUGGGCCUGCGCGUCCGGAGCCUGUGCUCCGCAACGGGAGA